AGAAUAUUGGUGCUGGGCAAAA
rnacentral:miRNA from 1 species